rnacentral:tRNA from 1 species
GCUGGUAUCGUAUAAUGGUAUUACGCUUGUUUUGUAAUCAAGUCAUGGCAGUUCGAUUCUGUCUACCAGCA